GCAAUAUAGCUCAGUGGAUAGAGCGCGCCUCUUAGAAGGGCAAGGUCGUGGGUUCGAGUCCCACUAUUGGAUACAAUGCA
rnacentral:tRNA from 1 species